GAACGUCGUGAGACAGUUCGGUCCCUAUCUGCCGUGGGUGUUGGAAAUUUGAGAGGAGCUGCCCCUAGUACGAGAGGACCGGGGUGGACGUACCUCUGGUGGACCUGUUGUCGCGCCAGCGGCAUAGCAGGGUAGCUAUGUACGGAAGGGAUAACCGCUGAAUGCAUCUAAGCGGGAAGCCCCCCUCAAAACCAGAUUUCCCUUGAGAGUCGAGGAAGACUACCUCGUUGAUAGGCUAGGUGUGGAAGUGUGGCGACACAUGAAGCUUACUAGUACUAAUAUCUCG
rnacentral:rRNA from 1 species